CUCACUUCGGUGGCACAGACUAAAAUUGGAACAAUACAGAGAAGAUGAUCAUAGUCCCUGUACGAGAGUGACAUGCAAACUAGUGACAUGUUCUGCAUUUUU